rnacentral:lncRNA from 1 species
GGCACACUUUGGCAACUGGCGUGGAGGCAGGAGAUUACGUGUCACGUUAUUUGCCUUAGAAGAACAUUUGACCCUUACCUACUGUUGUCCAGCUUCAAGAGUCAUUGGUAUUGACUGACAUAUGAAUCUUCAAAUCCCAAAAUGAGCAACAGUUUCCAGAGUUUUACAACUCGUAUUAUUUUUAGCUGAUUACACAGUCCUCAUGAUUGAUCUUCUUGGAGUAGCUCUUCUGCAAGCCUCGAGGAGGGGAGAGGAAGGGUUUCAUGCAGGCACACAUUUCCAUGGGUGAUAAGCUCGCAUCUGUUUUGAACCGUAAAAGGGUAGCUCGUUGUGAAAUCCUCUUGGAGCAUACCUUUUAAAUGCCAAACAAGCCCAGCAUCAGCAGCACAUAAAGAAAUAUUUGAAAGGCUCUGGAGGGAAGCCAAGAGGACGUGGCUAAUGUUUCACCUAACCUCACCCCCUCGCUGGCUGGUUGGCUCUGCCCGGCAGCCCUGCCUGUGUGACGUGAGCCUCCCAGCUCCGGCAGGCAGCUGCUCCUUGACUGCCUGCACUGUCUGCCCGGCUGGCAGCAGGACAAGGGAAACAAAGAGGCUAAAAACAUAAAGUAGCGAGAGAUUAGGAGCGGCGUGGCCGCGAGGGCAGCACGCCCUCCCUCAGGGCAGGGACGGGGUUGGAGUCCGCGCCUCUCCUGGCGGGCACCCACCCACAGAGCCACUGGGCUGGGCCUCACCUUUCCCUCCAGGAGGGUCCAGCACUGAGGAGACACAAAAUGAGGUUCUUUCACAACAGGCUGCUCUGCACAGUCAAAAAGAAAACAGAAUGAGCUCUGACCCUUGGACUGCCUCUGCCAAUCAGACUCACUCAAUACACCAGUCAUCAGCAUCAGAGAAGGAGAAAAAGUACUCAGGAACUCACACCUAUCCCAUCUGCCAGCAGGUACAGCACAUGCAGGACAUCAGGAAAAGGCAGCACGUAGCGACUGGCUUUAUACCCUGAGAAUAAAGUUCCACAUCUUUCCCA